rnacentral:rRNA from 1 species
UACGUAGGGGGCAAGCGUUGUCCGGAAUCAUUGGGCGUAAAGCGCGUGUAGGCGGCCCGGUAAGUCCGCUGUGAAAGUCGGGGGCUCAACCCUCGAAUGCCGGUGGAUACUGUCGGGCUAGAGUGCGGGAAGAGGCGAGUGGAAUUCCUGGUGUAGCGGUGAAAUGCGCAGAUAUCAGGAGGAACACCAUUAGUGCAAGGCAGCUCGCUGGGACGUAACUGACGCUGAGACGCGAAAGCGUGGGGAGCAAACAGG